GGCGACGUGGCCAAGUGGCAAGGCAGAGGUUUGCAAAACCUUGAUCAGCGGUUCGAAUCCGCUCGUCGCCU
rnacentral:tRNA from 1 species